AGGUGGGCCUUGAUCCCACGAUAAAUUAAUUAACAGCUAAUUACCCAAACCAGCGGGCUUCUAUUCGCUUCUCCC
rnacentral:tRNA from 1 species